rnacentral:rRNA from 1 species
AUUGAACGCUGGCGGCAUGCCUUACACAUGCAAGUCGGACGGUAACGGGCCUUCGGGUGCCGACGAGUGGCGAACGGGUGAGUAAUGCAUCGGAACGGACCUUUCAGGGGGGGAGAAUGUAGCGAAAGUUACGCUAAUACCGCAUAUUCUGUGAGCAGGAAAGCAGGGGAUCGCAAGACCGCGCGCUGAGUGAGCGGCCGAUGUCAGAUUAGCUAGUUGGUGAGGUAAAGGCUCACCAAGGGGACGAUCUGUAGCGGGUCUGAGAGGGUGAUCCGCCACACUGGAACUGAGACACGGUCCAGACUCCUACGGGAGGCAGCAGUGGGGAAUUUUGGACAAUGGGGGCAACCCUGAUCCAGCCAUGCCGCGUGAGUGAAGAAGGCCUUCGGGUUGUAAAGCUCUUUCGGCCGGGGAGAAAUCGUAUCAGCUAAUACCUGGUGCGGAUGACGGUACCGGCAUAAGAAGCACCGGCUAACUACGUGCCAGCCGCCGCAGUAACAC